UCCCUGGUGGCUAAAAUGGUAAAGAAUCUGCCUGCAAGGUGGGAGACCCAGGUUCAAUUCCUGGGUUGGGAA
rnacentral:tRNA from 1 species